GAUGAAGAACGUAGCGAAAUGCGAUAAGUAAUGUGAAUUGCAGAAUUCAGUGAAUCAUCGAAUCUUUGAACGCACCUUGCGCUCCUUGGUAUUCCGAGGAGCAUGCCUGUUUGAGUGUCAUGAAAUUCUCAACCUUUCUGGCUUUUGCUAGUCAGGCUUGGAUUAUGGGAGCUGCUGGCUUUUGAAGUCGGCUCUUCUAAAAUGUAUUAGCAAGAUCAUUGCUGCUCAUCAUUGGUAUGAUAAUUAUCUAUAUCAUUGAGAGUCAGUUUCCUUUAUUGGAAGAUUUUGCUCCUAACGGUCUUUAGCAAGACAACAUUUGACGAUUUUGACCUCAAAUCAGUAGGACUACCCGCUGAACUUAAGCAUAUCAAUAAGCGGAGGA
rnacentral:misc_RNA from 1 species